GACGAACGCUGGCGGCGUGCUUAACACAUGCAAGUCGCACGAACCAAAGGGAGCUUGCUCCUGGAGGUUAGUGGCGAACGGGUGCGUAACACGUGAGGAACUUGUCCUUCGGCGGGGGAUAGCCGGCCCAACGGCCGGGUAAUACCGCGUACGUCGGUUACGUCGCAUGGCGUGACCGGGAAAGCAGCAAUGCACCGAAGGAGAGCCUCGCGGCCUAUCAGCUUGUUGGUGGGGUAAUGGCCCACCAAGGCUACGACGGGUAGCUGGUCUGAGAGGAUGAUCAGCCACAUUGGGACUGAGACACGGCCCAG
rnacentral:rRNA from 1 species